CGAACCUACGACCUUUGGAAUACUAGCCCAAUGCUCUGCCAACUGAGCUACACGGUCAGGUCGGUUCGAGUAUGCGAUAUUUCGGAACUGAGUCUAUAGUUCCUUCGAUAUCAGUGUAAUCUAAGCAUGAUAUUUGCUGUACGUGGCCAGGCAUAUUUUUCAAGCCUGCCCGGUGUGGAUAUACACUCAGAGUAGCAUCACACAAGCAUCUUAUUCACCUGAGUACAUUACAUCAACACAGCAAAUAUCGUGUAUAAAUAGUUUUAAAUAAUGAUAAUAAUAAUAUUCUCGCAUGAUCUGUUUCCUCCAAUAUAUACGGUUGUCUAUGAGAAAAAUCCUGCGCCCUGCGGGCAAAAUUUCAUUCCCUAAUCCCCGUUUUAUUUCCCUAAUCCGCGUUUUAUUUCCCCAUCCGCGUUUUAUUCACUCGUCCGCAUUUUCCACCAUCCGUUAUCUCAUCUCCUUUCCGUGUCUGCCAGGCAUUAAAAUAAGCGUGUUUUUUACACACUUUGUGUCCUUAAUUGUAAAAGCAAAAAG